GUUUGCGGCGAUUGAAUGAACCAGUUCGUAAAGGAUCACUGAAGUUAAGCAACGUUGCGCGUGGUUAGUAUCCGGAUGGGUGACCAUGUGGACAAUAGUGUGCUUGCUGACU
rfam:Asian citrus Psyllid, Diaphorina citri - Florida Strain, whole genome shotgun sequence.